rnacentral:rRNA from 1 species
AUUGAACGCUGGCGGCAUGCUUUACACAUGCAAGUCGAACGGUAACAGGCCGCAAGGUGCUGACGAGUGGCGAACGGGUGAGUAAUGCAUCGGAACGUGCCCAGUCGUGGGGGAUAACGCAGCGAAAGCUGCGCUAAUACCGCAUACGAUCUGUGGAUGAAAGCGGGGGACCUUCGGGCCUCGCGCGAUUGGAGCGGCCGAUGUCAGAUUAGGUAGUUGGUGGGGUAAAGGCUCACCAAGCCAACGAUCUGUAGCUGGUCUGAGAGGACGACCAGCCACACUGGGACUGAGACACGGCCCAGACUCCUACGGGAGGCAGCAGUGGGGGAUUUUGGACAAUGGGGGCAACCCUGAUCCAGCAAUGCCGCGUGCAGGAAGAAGGCCUUCGGGUUGUAAACUGCUUUUGUACGGAACGAAUAGGCUCUGGUUAAUACCUGGGGCUCAUGACGGUACCGUAAGAAUAAGCACCGGCUAACUACGUGCCAGCAGCCGCCGUAAAAC